rnacentral:rRNA from 1 species
AGAGUUUGAUCCUGGCUCAGAAUGAACGCUGGCGGCGUGCUUAACACAUGCAAGUCGUACGCGAAAGGCGCUUUCGGGUGCUGAGUAGAGUGGCGCACGGGUGAGUAACGCGUGGGUAAUCUACCCUUGGAUCUUGGAUAACACAUCGAAAGGUGUGCUAAUACGGGAUGAAGUCUGCGAGGAUGCGUUUUUGCAGAUGAAAGGCCGCGCAAGCGGUUGUCCGAGGAUGAGCCUGCGUCCCAUUAGCUAGUUGGCGGGGUAAAGGCCCACCAAGGCUGAGAUGGGUAGCUGGUCUGAGAGGAUGACCCGCCACACUGGAACUGGAACACGGACCAGACUCCUACGGGAGGCAGCAGUGAGGAAUAUUGCGCAAUGGGGGCAACCCUGACGCAGCGACGCCGCGUGAGUGAUGAAGGCCUUCGGGUCGUAAAGCUCUGUCGGAAGGGAAGAAUGGCCGCUGGGUUAAUAUCCCAGUGGAAUGACGGUACCUUCAGAGGAAGCACCGGCUAACUCCGUGCCAGCAGCCGCGGUAAUACGGAGGGUGCGAGCGUUAAUCGGAAUUACUGGGCGUAAAGGGCGCGUAGGCGGCCGAUCAAGUCAGAUGUGAAAGCCCACGGCUCAACCGUGGAAGUGCAUCUGAAACUGUUUGGCUUGAGUAUCGGAGGGGAAUGUGGAAUUCCUGGUGUAGAGGUGAAAUUCGUAGAGAUCAGGAGGAACACCGGUGGCGAAGGCGACAUUCUGGACGAAUACUGACGCUGAGGCGCGAAAGCGUGGGGAGCAAACAGGAUUAGAUACCCUGGUAGUCC